rnacentral:rRNA from 1 species
CAUAGGUUAAUGAGGCGAACCGGGGGAACUGAAACAUCUAAGUACCCCGAGGAAAAGAAAUCAACCGAGAUUCCCCCAGUAGCGGCGAGCGAACGGGGAGGAGCCCAGAGCCUGAAUCAGUGUGUGUGUUAGUGGAAGCGUCUGGAAAGGCGCGCGAUACAGGGUGACAGCCCCGUACACAAAAAUGCACAUAUUGUGAGCUCGAUGAGUAGGGCGGGACACGUGGUAUCCUGUCUGAAUAUGGGGGGACCAUCCUCCAAGGCUAAAUACUCCUGACUGACCGAUAGUGA